ensembl:rRNA 5S_rRNA 5S ribosomal RNA
GCUUACGGCCAUACCACCCUGAGAACGCCCGAUCUCGUCCGAUCUCGGAAGCUAAGCAGGGUCGGGCCUGGUUAGUACUUGGAUGGGAGACCGCCUGGGAAUACCAGGUGCUGUAAGCA